CGGGCUCCGCAUCCCCUCUCCGUCUGAGAUUCCCCGGUUGAGAGAGAUGGGGCUCACCUUCACCAAGCUGUUCAGCCGGUUGUUCGCGAAGAAGGAGAUGCGGAUUCUGAUGGUCGGUCUCGAUGCGGCUGGUAAGACGACGAUCCUGUAUAAGCUGAAGCUGGGCGAGAUCGUCACCACGAUCCCUACCAUCGGAUUCAAUGUGGAGACUGUCGAGUACAAGAACAUUAGCUUUACUGUUUGGGAUGUUGGGGGUCAGGAUAAGAUCAGACCUCUGUGGAGGCACUACUUCCAGAACACACAGGGACUGAUAUUCGUCGUUGACAGCAAUGAUAGAGAUCGUGUGGUCGAGGCAAGAGAUGAGCUUCACAGGAUGCUAAAUGAGGAUGAACUGCGGGAUGCUGUGUUACUUGUGUUUGCAAACAAACAAGAUCUGCCAAAUGCAAUGAAUGCUGCUG
rnacentral:misc_RNA from 1 species